rnacentral:rRNA from 1 species
AUUGAACGCUGGCGGCAUGCCUUACACAUGCAAGUCGAACGGCAGCACGGGAGCAAUCCUGGUGGCGAGUGGCGAACGGGUGAGUAAUAUAUCGGAACGUGCCCAGUCGUGGGGGAUAACGUAGCGAAAGCUACGCUAAUACCGCAUACGAUCUAUGGAUGAAAGCGGGGGAUCGCAAGACCUCGCGCGAUUGGAGCGGCCGAUAUCAGAUUAGGUAGUUGGUGGGGUAAAAGCCUACCAAGCCUUCGAUCUGUAGCUGGUCUGAGAGGACGACCAGCCACACUGGAACUGAGACACGGUCCAGACUCCUACGGGAGCAGCAGUGGGGAAUUUUGGACAAUGGGCGCAAGCCUGAUUCAGCAACACCGCGUGGAGGACGAAGGCC